AUAGGGAUAGUAUAAUGGUAUUACAUGUUGUUAAGACCACAAGAUCGCGGUUCGAUUCCGUGCCCUUUUU
rnacentral:tRNA from 1 species